GACCCCUUAGCUCAGUGGUAGAGCGUGUGAUUCCAGUGCAUUUGCUAUUGCUAACUGUAUAGUGAAUCCACAAGGUCGUCCGUUCAAUCCGGGCAGGGGUCA